rnacentral:lncRNA from 1 species
AUUCGUUUUAAAUAGCGUAAUAAUCAAUUAGAAUAUAAAUACAAAUUCCGUUGCCGUAUUUACUGAUCAUCGUCUUUUCUUGAUUUUAGGUGUCUAUUGAAUGGUAUGUGAACAAUAAACAGGCACGUGAAAUUUUGUCAGAUAUCUAAUUACUAUCAGACAUAUAAUUCUGCAAUAAAAUGUCUCUGUCCAAAUUUUGACAGAAGAAUAAAAUGCCUUUAAGUGGCAUUUGAUUUUGUUCAAGAUUUUUAUUCACAUACCUGUCUAUUUGCAUGUUAAUAGUUUUGUUCAUGUUCGAUAAAAUUUCCUUAUCUAACCAGGAACAUAUAUAUUCCCAG